UACGUAGGGUGCAAGCGUUGUCCGGAAUUAUUGGGCGUAAAGAGCUCGUAGGCGGUUCGUCGCGUCGGCUGUGAAAACCCGGAGCUCAACUCCGGGCCUGCAGUCGAUACGGGCGGACUAGAGGUCGGCAGGGGAGACUGGAAUUCCUGGUGUAGCGGUGAAAUGCGCAGAUAUCAGGAGGAACACCGGUGGCGAAGGCGGGUCUCUGGGCCGAGACUGACGCUGAGGAGCGAAAGCGUGGGGAGCGAACAGG
rnacentral:rRNA from 1 species